UACGAGAGGCCCAAACGUUAUUCGGAAUUACUGGGCGUAAAGCGCACGUAGGCGGAUUUGUUAGUCAGGGGUGAAAUCCCGGGGCUCAACCUCGGAACUGCCUUUGAUACUGCAAGUCUCGAGUCCGAUAGAGGUGGGUGGAAUUCCUAGUGUAGAGGUGAAAUUCGUAGAUAUUAGGAAGAACACCGGUGGCGAAGGCGGCCCACUGGAUCGGUACUGACGCUGAGGUGCGAAAGCGUGGGGAGCAAACAGG
rnacentral:rRNA from 1 species